GAUUAAAGACUGAGCACAGGGGACAAGUUAUCCCCCUUCCUCCCCUGCCAGUGCAUUUAAUCAUUGCAAACAGUGCACUGCUGCACUGGUAAGAAGCAUCCUGAAGCCCGAAAAGGGGGCGGGGCUAAACGGCACUGUACACAGUGCAAUGCCAGCCAGCAGCAUGGGAAAGAGGAGAGGAAGAGCAGCAGUACAGCCUAAAUAGGGGAGAUUGGUCCUGCUGGUGAAUAUCGAUGGCACAGUCCAGGAGCGGUAGUCAAGUAUAAUAGAGGUCAGAGAUACUAGUAAACUGACAGAAUCCAAAGAACAUAUCAAGAUCUGUACCUGUGAUAAGCUAUCCCUGGCUAUAUAAGAAAACAAUUGAUUGAAUUGAUUGGGCAUCAGGCAAGAUAACAAGAUUCUCUGACUGUUCCCAUUAGGGAGUACGUUGACGUCUUCUACUAAACAACAGCUGAUGAACUCCCUCAUCACAGACAUUUUGAUUGUACCAUUGACCUUAACUCUGGAGCAGAGCUCCCUAAAUAGAAAUGAUAUCCUCUCUCUCUCUCUCUCUCUCUCUCUCUCUCU